UAGUCAUAUGCUUGUCUUAAAAACUAACCCAUGCAUGUCUAAUUAUAAACUUGUAUACGGGGAGACUGCAAAGGGCUCAUUAAAACAGCUAUAGUUUAUUUGCUAAAGUUUAUAUGGAUAACCGUAGUAAUUCUAAAGCUAAUACAUGCUGAUACCCUGUGCGUAUUAUUUAUAAAAAAAAUGCCAACGGGAAAAAUCCUGUGGAGAAAUCAUAAUAACUUACCAAACUUCUUCGAAAGUGAAGCAUUCAAGUUUCUGCCCUAUCACCUUUCAAUGGUAGUGUAUUGAACUACCAUGGCAAUGACGGGUGACGGAAAAUUAGGGUUCAAUUCCGGAAAGGGAGCCUGAAAAACGGCUACCACAUCUAAGGAAGGCAGCAGGCGCGCAAAUUACCCAAUCCUAAUUCAGGGAGGUAGUGACAAAAAAUAACAACGCGGGGCUUCUGUCUCGUGAUUGGAAUGAAAUAAGUGUUAAAUACUUUUCAAUUAUCAACU
rnacentral:rRNA from 1 species